AAAACAACAGUUCCAAACUUAGAAUAUACAUUUAUAUUCAAGUCUAUCUCAUAUGUUUAUAUAUUUCCAAAUACAACAAAAGAUUUAAGUUUUAGAUAACUUUCAACCCUAAACGAGCACUAACACGAGUACAAUGACAAACGUCAAAAACUAGCCAACAUCAGCCUGUACCAGUCUCACGCCCAUGCUCAUAUCUCCUGUAAAGAAAACAAAACUAAUAGGGUGAGACAAAGCUCCGUGAGGUUCCAAAACUUCAUGCAAACCCAAGUAGUGAAUUGACCAUUGUAUAAAACUUAAAAUAUCAAAGCAGCAAGCAUAAGAGUUCAUAAAAAUGAGCAAUAACACUUCAAAUUGCAACUUAUUAGAUAUCCAACAUUUCCAGGUAAAAGGAUAUAGUAGCUCUUCCGAGUUAACUCUGCCAUAACUUCAUCAAGUAAUAGUUGACAUUCCGUCAACUUUCAAAUAGAGUAACCAAUCCAAUAGUGCACCACUUAACUCCAAUCUCCAUCCAUUAUUCAAACCCCCUACCGGGCCCGAACUCUAAUAUAACAAUGGUGGUAACACUCGAGCAUACCAAUUAGUUAAGAAGAUAACACUCCACUCGAUAAAGCGGUAGAUCCAGGGUUCGUUAUCUUAUUGACCAGGUCCUUGCCGGUUUGACUCAAUUAACUAGCUACAGGGUUUUUAAAAUUCCAUACAGUAUCCAAGUCAUACACACACACACACACAUAUAUAUAUAUAUCAAGCCAAUUGUAACCAGUGGACAGUAAUAAAUCACAUUAGGAUAAGUGCAAUAAAGUACACUGUGACGGCCCCACCUCCCCAUAAGGCGUACCAAAGGGUUCGACUGGUCGCCUGCCCAACUCUCGCCAGGACUCACUCACUCGCAUCUCACGCAUACAUCCAUAUACAAUAAAUAACAUCACAAUUCAAACUUAUAAUAUACAUCGAUGCACAAAUCCAGAUACAAAACUUCUACACACCAAAAGUCUUCAAAGUGUUUACAAUUCGAGUACAAAUCACCCUAGUCAAGAUAUGGCGCGAGUACAAAUUCAAAACACAAAAUAACUAGACUAUGCUAGCCUGUACACGUCUCACGCCUCACUCGUACCCCCUGUAAGGAAAACAAAUGGCGUGGAAUAAGCUAAAAGCCCAGUGAGGUUUCAAAUAACAAAUUGACCAUUGUUAAAAGUACGAAUGUCAACGUAGCAAAUUAAUGAGCAUCAAAAGUUCAUAAUAGUGAACAAUAAUACUUCAAGUAGCAAAUCUCAAAGUGAGCGAGUGUAAAAGUUUUUCAGAAGAAACAAUAAUCUAAUAAGCAAUAAUCAUUCCAAAGUAUAAGGAUACGGAUGGCUCUCAGGAGCCAAAUUCCCAUUGCAUCACUAGAACUUGAUCAAGUAAUAGUUGACACUCCGUCAACCUUCAAAUAAGUAAUCAAUCCAGUAGAGCACCACUUACACUACUCUCCGUCCACCAUUCACACCCCCUACUAGGCCCAAAAUCCUCAAUAAACACUGGUAGUAAUACUCGAGUAUACCGAUUAGUCGAGGAGAUAACACUCCACUCGACAUCACUAACUACCCAUAGUUCGUUAUCUAAUCAACCAAACUCUUGCCGGCUCGACUCGAUUAACUAGCCAGUGGGGUUUGGGUUCCCAAGAUUGUCGAUGAGAUAACAUCUCCAAUCGACUGAAUCAAAAUAAAAGUACGGAGAUGGGAAUGAGAUGCACCUCCCACUCGGAUUGAGUGUGGUACAUACUGCCGCUCCGCACUUAUAACUCAAGUACAAGUAUAUCACGUCAAUUGUAACAAUAAACAAGUAUAUAUCAUAAUAGGGCAAGUGCGAUAAAGUACACUCUUACUCGAUCAAACAAAUUACAUAUCAUUAAAUCACAUUGGUCAAGUAUGGAAAACAAGUAUCCAGUUCAAUUAGGUAUUUGGAAGCACUCACCAAAGGUCUAGUGCCUCUCAAAAGUCACGUUCAGGUUCAACUCCUUGGUUGGAGUCCAAAUCUGCUAUAAAAUAUCAUUUGUGAAUGUAAAACUCUCUAGAAUUCGAAACAUAGGAGUUUCGCUUCAAGAAAAUCAAGUAAAUGUAACUCGUUUAAGUAGUAUUCAAGAUACUUAUCAAAUUCCGAAAAAUUCAUGCUCGCUCGUUUACUUAUGAUCAAGAAGUGGUUUCAACUUUAGAAGUUGCACUUGGUAUCAAAGACCAGAAAAAUCGUCUUUUGAAAGGGUCAUUACUUUCACUUUUUAAGGGUACGAGUUUCGACAAAAUUUUAGCUUAUACACCUUGACUAAAGAAAACUCGAUUACCAUAGGUGAUCCAAGUCCAACUUGACCUCAAAUCGUCGCUCAAGUUGCGGUUACAUAUGCCUAACCUUUGGGUGAAAAUUUGGGCAGCACGCCCUUUGUGUUUACCUAUUUUUCAGCCAUUUAUGGCUUUAUUAUUUUCCUCAUUUUAGCCCCCAAAACACACACAAGCAAUGUUACAAACAUAACCCUUCAAUUAGGCUCCAAAAACAUGCAAACACAAGGCAAUUCUAGCAAGUAAGCUUCACUUGGAAAUUCAAAAAUGGUGGCUAAAAGCUAAGUACAAGUCUUGACCGCUUUAAUUAAGGUAACUUGUUAAAAGUGUAAAAUUUUGAGGAAAGGAGAGAUACAUUAGCGAGAGAAGUUCAAUAGGGAUACAUUUGAAGUCAAGGAAGUGGAAAAAUCAAGGUAAGAGGUUGGAAGUAGGCCGUCCGAGGUUUUAAAGUCAAGAAGUCCGUUUCUAUGCUUCAGGAAUCUACUGAGAUGAAUAGAUAGUAACAGUAAAUUUUAAAAAUUCACAAGUCGAGUUCCACAAGUCAAAAAAUUAUGAACGUUAUACCGUUGUAAAAUAGAUUUUUAGUACUACCACAUCCCAGAAGACACUUUUCAGAGAUUCAAAUCACAAAUAGACCAAAUAUUCGAUCCAAGUCAAAAAUUUAUUUUCCUAAAGAAACAGGACAUUCAAGCAGGACAACCUACUUUGAGGAGUCACGGACAGCAGUACACAUGGAGGAAAAAUAUGAAAUUUUUACAGAACAAAGGUCCAUAAGUCUAGUUUCAACUGCCACUGACGGCACCUCAAUCGGAUUUUUUUACACCAAGAUAUAAGCAUUUUACAGAGACUGAUCAGUGAAAUCCAAAAAUCUGGAAACUCAAUUUCACUUGUGAAAAACUCCUUUUUCUCUUUUAAAACCACAAGACUUUUAUUCCAACCACCCAUACAUUAAGUAUGACAUUCAUACCAGCAAUUUUAACAUAAUUUAAGCAUCAAAUUUCAACAAAAACCAAAGAUAUACGUAUAUUCCAAGUUGAAAGUUUUGUAAGAUGUGUAGACUAAGAUUAAAUCAUUUUCUAUUCAAUAGUCAAGGAUUCUAAGUUGUUUGUAGUUUGGGUUUUGUUCCACUACACCAAUGAAUAGCAACCAGACUAGGCCAACCAUCAUGCAGCUUAACUGCACCAAUUAAUAGCAAUCUAAAGUUUAAAUACCCACAUCCUCAAAACAUUGACAUGUUUUAUAAAAGGAGAAAAUUUGAACUUCACUACCAUUAUUCUUAUACGGAACCUGGUCAUAUGUCUAAAAUGGAAAUUAAUCAUAUACUGUGUCCUUGAAGAGCACUACCUAAGGAACCAGGAGACAUAGAUAUUGGCACCCAAAUCCGUAGUAUAUUGGUUUUCAGCAGCUCUCUCUUUGAAGCAUCUGACACGACUUCUACUUCAGAAACUCACCAUUGUUAUCUAAAAAUAAAGCCAAGAGUGCAGCAUAGCAACUAGAACAACUUAUAUACGACUUUCACAGCUAAUAAUCCUAUAUAUCCUGAAGUAGAUAUAUUUCAUACUUCUGCUAACAUGAGUCUUCAAGGAAAUUCUAGUUACAAGCGUUAAAAUUCUAGCUCCUUAGCCUCGGUCAUCUCAGAAAUUUUCCAGCACCCAAUCAGCCUCUAAUCUAAAUUUUCUUCAGCAAGGUUCAUUCUUAGCUAAAGUCUAACAUUCAUGUCCAUAUACGUGAACUAGAGAGUGUAUAUCAGUCAUGCACAUAAGAAACAAUCAGAAAAUCUCAGCUUAGCUCAACAAUAUCGCAUAACAGCUUCUAUUGAGCAUUUCCAGCACUUGGUCAGUAUUUUAAUCUUGAUUUCUUCAGCCAAACCUCUUAUAAACUUAAGGUAAAUGUAUAACAUAUGUUUCCUAUCAUUGGUUUUCCAGAAAUUUCCAGCAAUAAAUCUAGUCUUUACAACCAAUUUCUACUUCAAUCCAACCUCAAGGAAAUAUACAUCAAAAGCCCUCUAAAGUAUGUGAAAGAAAUUAAAGUUCCAAGUCAUGUUACCUUUAAAACAAGCUAGAAGUUAACUCCCCUGUUUUGGUCCUUCUACUCGAUCAAACAAGCUGGAAAUGGAAACAAGACUCAAGCUUCCUUUCAGUUUUCUCUCGCUGGUUCCUCUUGGCUAAAGUGGAAACAAAACAAGGGAAAUUUCUUUGUUUUCCCCAAAUUUUCUUUUGGCUGG
rnacentral:lncRNA from 1 species